rnacentral:misc_RNA from 1 species
UGCUUUUCAAUGAUGGAAAUAUGCUACAUGUUACAUACUUGUCUUGUGUGUGAUAUUUUUUCAUCUCCAAGUUCAACCAGGGACAAGAUGUUAUAGCUGAUUAAACUUCUGCGAAUGGACUUGUUAGACUCUUGAGCUGAGCUGCAUAGUUUAUUAAAGCUGACACUUAAAAAGGAAAUAUGCAGCUCAGCUCAAGAGUCUAACAAGU